UACGGGGGGGGCAAGCGUUGUUCGGAUUUACUGGGCGUAAAGGGCGCGUAGGCGGCAUGACAAGUCACUUGUGAAAUCUCUGGGCUUAACCCAGAACGGCCAAGUGAUACUGUCGCGCUAGAGUGCGGAAGGGGCAAUCGGAAUUCUCGGUGUAGCGGUGAAAUGCGUAGAUAUCGAGAGGAACACCUGAGGUGAAGACGGGUUGCUGGGCCGACACUGACGCUGAGUGCGCGAAAGCCAGGGGAGCAAACGGG
rnacentral:rRNA from 1 species